rnacentral:rRNA from 1 species
AUUGAACGCUGGCGGCGUGCCUAACACAUGCAAGUCGAGCGGUAACAGGUGUAGCAAUACAUGCUGACGAGCGGCGGACGGGUGAGUAACGCUUGGGAAUCUGCCUAUUAGUGGGGGACAACCCGGGGAAACUCGGGCUAAUACCGCAUACGCUCUACGGAGGAAAGCCGGGGACCGCAAGGCCUGGCGCUAAUAGAUGAGCCCAAGUCGGAUUAGCUAGUUGGUAGGGUAAUGGCCUACCAAGGCGACGAUCCGUAACUGGUCUGAGAGGACGACCAGUCACACCGGAACUGAGACACGGUCCGGACUCCUACGGGAGGCAGCAGUGGGGAAUAUUGGACAAUGGGCGAAAGCCUGAUCCAGCGACGCCGCGUGGGUGAAGAAGGCCUGCGGGUUGUAAAGCCCUUUCAGUGGGGAAGAAAAGCCUCGACCUAACACGUCGGGGUCUUGACGUAACCCCAUAGAAGAAGCACCGGCUAACUCUGUGCCAGCCGCCGCAGUAAU